UGGCUAACUUUACUAGCUAGCCAAAGUUACGUCCAGGCUAAAAACAAAAGUUUCCAGAUCAGAUGUGGGCGGGGUUUGCGCGCACUGUUUGAGGUGAUUGAGUUCGCGUCUCUGAUCUGAGACCAGCGCUGUUUGAGGGUCCUCGGCCUGUUUCCUUUUUAUCUACAAGUGAAACUAUUUAAGAAAGUAUGUGAGUCCGCCCAGAGGGCUGAGCUCCGAUGAUUAGGAGGAUUAGGACUUGGAAGCAGAUGUUUGGACACAGCACACACCUGCAGUCAGCUCAGACUGGAGCUGGACAUUCGGGAAAGACUAACCUGCAGGCUCAUCAUCGGUCCAGCUGGAGGAAACGCUUUUAAUGAUGCAUGGUCAUAGAAGAGUGAGAAACCGAUCGAUUGUGAGUCGUCGCUGACUAAACUUUCUCCUUCUUCUUCAAAGAUCCAGGAGCUCAAUAAAAACCUGGAUCUGUGUGUGACGUCAACAGCCUCUGAGCCAGAGAUCAACAAUGAAGCUUUGAACCUUUAAGGCCCAAACUCCAAGUCCUUGUAGACACAGCUAACACCUGGGCUUACUGUAUGUGUAUGCGUCAGGGUAGAGCGCUUACAUAAAGCACUUCAAACUCUUCAGAGAGAGAGAGGAGUCAAACGCUAACACGCGCUCUCUGGGGAAGAAUGAUGCACAAAGUGAGUUAAAGAGAGAAAACACAGAUGACAGAGAGCUUCACAGACGCAGAGAUCUGAAGACGUGGAGGCGAAGAAGGAGAGGAUGAGGGAAGAAAGAUGCAAUGAGAGGAUGCAAGGAAGACAAAGACGCAAGUGAAAAGACUGAAUAAAUGAUUCAGAAUAAAGAUGAAAGAACAGCGGGAGGAGGGGAAGAGAAGGUCAGGGAACGGCCAAAUGAGCAGAAACAGCAGCUGACAGGUGAAGACGGACGAUCAAUGCCACAGAUCACAGAGGCAGGUGGACAGGACCUGCACUGACUCAUCUGUGCCUUCGUGUGUGUUGAAGCGAGGACGGGCCGCUUCCCAUCCUACGUCUCAUCUCUGCCUUUCUCUGGGGAUGUGGCAAAUCAAGUGCGGCCCAGAAAACGGAAGUUUGUCAUCAUUAAACUUCUUGAGUUUACAAAGAAAAGCUCACAAACAUUCACAACACAAGAUUAAUGACCCAGAGAAGCUGGAAGCCAUUACAGAGGGCUCACCUGACGACAAAGGGACUGGUCAGAUCAGCUGAAGAUCAGGCGAGGUCAUGUCAUGGGUUGUCAUGGAAACAGCCGGAUCAGUUUUUGCCCAUUAUCGUGUCUGAUUUAGGUCAGAGGAGUGCUGCUAGUAGUCUGUGUGUAGUUGGAGGUAGUCUGUGCGUAGAUAUAGGUAGUCUGUGCGUUAGUUGGUGUUAGUUUGUUAGUUGGUGUGUAGCUGGUGGUAGUCUAUUAGUCUUUGUGGUCUGCUUCUUGUCGUGUGUGAUUGUUUUUAGUUCCUAUACUACCAGUGUGUACUCACAGUACUACAGGUACUGUUGGUGACAUGACUUGAUUUCAUCACUGAGCUCUCUUGGCUGGAUGUCGGCCUUUCACAGCUUCAUCUUCAGCGCGUUCUCCCAGUGACUGCCCAGCUGUGAGACCACAUCUUUCUCCUCAUGGUUUCCCAACUACAGUUUGUCUUUCCCGUCUCCACCCUUUGUGUUUGUCACAUAAUUCCCCCUGUUUCUUGUCAUGUUUGGACAGAUUGCAUACGGUGGUUUGGCCUAAAUUUACGCUGCGGUCUCAACACCACGUCUCCACCAACCAGCUUCUGAGAACUGCUUCAGUGAGAGGAUGAGCACUCACACACUGUGGUCGGGCCAAACCACUGAGGUGGGCGUUCAGAUGGUGACUGGACCAAGGCUGCACUGGAAAAACCAAGACCUUUGACUCAACUGCUGCUGUCAUGCAAAACUAAGUUUAUGAGGAGAAACGUGACUUGGUCCCACUUAUGUGAAAAAUGUUGAGUAAAUGAUGAAAGUCUUUAGAUCAGGGUCGGCCAGCGCACAACAAACCUGAAUAAUAAUAACAUCAUGUUCACGUUCACGAACUGAAAGAUCUGGAGGAACCUCUCAUCUGUUAAUCCAUGGUUUAAAGUGGUUUCCUGCUGUUUUAGGUUUGUGCUAUGAUCCAUUCUUUUCAUUCUGUCGCAGAUUCUACUGUCCAUUAUUUUUCGGUGGGUCUCCUUCCAUAACUGUGUUAGAUGACGCAGCUGUUCUCACCAUCAUACGUUAUCUGUCCUGGCGAUAUAGAAACUUUACCGGUGGGUGCGAGUACAACCAACUGAACUCAGCUGUCAAACAUCACGUGAGGUUUUAUGAGCUGCAGUUUCUAAGACCAGAAAGUUCUCGCCUGCUAAAUCACUCUUUAAAUCAUCACCACCAGCAUUUUCAGU